rnacentral:rRNA from 1 species
UUGUAAUUUGUAGAAGGUGCUUCGGGUGCGACGGCGGCCUAAGUCCCCUGGAACAGGGCGUCAUAGAGGGUGAGAAUCCCGUACGCGGCCGCCCGCCAACCCCGUGCGAAGCCCUUUCGACGAGUCGAGUUGUUUGGGAAUGCAGCUCUAAAUGGGUGGUAAAUUUCAUCUAAAGCUAAAUAUCUGCCGGAGACCGAUAGCGCACAAGUAGAGUGAUCGAAAGAUGAAAAGCACUUUGAAAAGAGAGUCAAACAGUACGUGAAAUUGUUGAAGGGGAAGCGCUUGCAACCAGACUCGCUCGCGGGUGCUCAGCCGUCCCUCGGGGCGGUGCACUCUCCCGCGAUCGGGCCAGCAUCGGUUUUGGCGGCCGGACAAAGGCCCCGGGAACGUAGCUCUCUCCGGGGAGUGUUAUAGCCCGGGGUACAAUGCGGCCAGCCGGGACCGAGGACCGCGCUUCUGCUAGGAUGCUGGCGUAAUGGUUGCCAGCGACCCGUCUUGAAACACGGACCAAGGAGUCAACCAAUUGUGCGAGUAUUUGGGUGUCAAACCCUUGUGCGCAAUGAAAGUGAACGCAGGUGGGAGCCCCCGGGCGCACCAUCGACCGAUCUUGAUGUCUUCGGAUGGAUUUGAGUAUGAGCAUAAUUGUUUGGACCCGAAAGACGGUGAGCUAUGCGUGGAUAGGGUGAAGCCAGAGGAAACUCUGGUGGAGGCUCGCAGCGGUUCUGACGUGCAAAUCGAUCGUCAAAUCUGCGUAUAGGGGCGAAAGACCAAUCGAACCGUCUAGUAGCUGGCAAGUAUUCUCCUCUAAUAUAGUUAAAUUAGAGCUAACAUUCUAUAGGUUCCUGUCGAAGUUUCCCUCAGGAUAGCAGUAACGAAAAACAGUCUCAUGAGGUAGAGCAAACGAUUAGAGGCCUUGGGGCAGAAAUUGCUUUAACCUAUUCUCGAACUCCGAAUAUGUGAGAAGUCCUUGUUACUUAGUUGAA